rnacentral:rRNA from 1 species
AUUGAACGCUGGCGGCAUGCCUUACACAUGCAAGUCGAACGGUAACGCGGGGCAACCUGGCGACGAGUGGCGAACGGGUGAGUAAUGUAUCGGAACGUGCCCAGUUGUGGGGGAUAACUGCUCGAAAGAGCAGCUAAUACCGCAUACGACCUGAGGGUGAAAGCGGGGGAUCGCAAGACCUCGCGCAAUUGGAGCGGCCGAUAUCAGAUUAGGUAGUUGGUGGGGUAAAGGCCCACCAAGCCAACGAUCUGUAGCUGGUCUGAGAGGACGACCAGCCACACUGGGACUGAGACACGGCCCAGACUCCUACGGGAGGCAGCAGUGGGGAAUUUUGGACAAUGGACGCAAGUCUGAUCCAGCCAUGCCGCGUGCGGGAAGAAGGCCUUCGGGUUGUAAACCGCUUUUGUCAGGGAAGAAACGCUCUGGACUAAUACUCUGGGGUAAUGACGGUACCUGAAGAAUAAGCACCGGCUAACUACGUGCCAGCAGCCGCAGUAACAC